rnacentral:rRNA from 1 species
AAAGUGUGGCGAUGCUAUACUGCAAGUCGAGCGCAGGAAGCAAGCUGAUCCCCUUCGGGGGUGACGCUUGUGGAAUGAGCGGCGGACGGGUGAGUAACACGUGGGCAACCUGCCUGUAAGACUGGGAUAACUCCGGGAAACCGGGGCUAAUACCGGGUAAUACCAGACUCCGCAUGGAGUCGGGUUGAAAGAUGGCUUCUCGCUAUCACUUACAGAUGGGCCCGCGGCGCAUUAGCUAGUUGGUGAGGUAACGGCUCACCAAGGCAACGAUGCGUAGCCGACCUGAGAGGGUGAUCGGCCACACUGGGACUGAGACACGGCCCAGACUCCUACGGGAGGCAGCAGUAGGGAAUCUUCCGCAAUGGACGAAAGUCUGACGGAGCAACGCCGCGUGAACGAUGAAGGUCUUCGGAUCGUAAAGUUCUGUUGUCAGGGAAGAACAAGUACCGUGCGAAUAGAGCGGUACCUUGACGGUACCUGACCAGAAAGCCACGGCUAACUACGUGCCAGCAGCCGCGGUAAUACGUAGGUGGCAAGCGUUGUCCGGAAUUAUUGGGCGUAAAGCGCGCGCAGGCGGUUUCUUAAGUCUGAUGUGAAAGCCCCCGGCUCAACCGGGGAGGGUCAUUGGAAACUGGGGAACUUGAGUACAGAAGAGGAGAGUGGAAUUCCACGUGUAGCGGUGAAAUGCGUAGAUAUGGUGGAGGAACACCAGGUGGCGAAGGCGACUCUCUGGUCUGUAACUGACGCUGAGGCCGAAAGCUGGGGGGGAAAAAAAAAAGAGAGAAAAAAAA